AAGAAAUUUAAACGAAAAGCAUUCGAGUUUACUGUUUUGAGAUCUGAGAUGCUUGGUUUGCAAGUGGCACAAAAAGGUCGUUUGUGUUCACAUGAAGCCUCCAAGCGCUCCGUUUUCAUCUCGCUCCGUUUAGAAACCGUGCUCAAAUUGUUACGGCGAAAGUCACGUUUUCAAACACGACGGCUAAUUGUGGCUUUUCUUCGCCGUUUUCAAACCAUUUCGGCGUGGUGUGAACGUAGUUUAAGUUGAGAAUUAACGUGCUGAAUUACUAAGCGAAUACAAUGUUUAUUUUUAUUUUUACUUGAGUUUUUGAAUCUUUACGAUUAACAGAACCUCGAGAACGCCAUAUUCUUUUUACCACGCGCGACGCAAUUAUAACAUUGCACGUCAGAUCUGCCGUGGGAUAUUAUAAUAUCUGACGCUGUAUUAACGUCACGUGGUACAAAAUGCUGUUCUUUGAUUAGUCAAUUUAAAGUUGAGGUAUAAUAUUGGCAUCCCUGAACGGUAACUAACGUAUUACUGUUUCAAUUUGAAGUAGAUCUGAGAUGUACUUAAAUGUGACUAUUGUAAUUACCAAUGAACAAACGUACACGAAAUUUAUGUUUGUUUCGCUUUUUGAAACUGAUCUCUUUUUGACCAACAGGAUAUUUUCGGAUUUCAUUCUCUUCAAUUG